GUCACUUGAGAAGCAGCGUUCCAGGGACUCCGCUCCUGCCACCAGUUCAACAACCCUCUACACCUGGACCCGACCUCCUCGCUUUGGAGGAAGAACGUAAGCGUUUAAAUGCAGAAUUGCAGGCAAAAACAGCUGACGUGGUUCGACAAGCUAAGGAAAUAAUAGUAAGUAAAUAUACAGUUAUUAAUAAUUCCAUACAAAGGCUUGUGUUUUAACUUUUUAAUUUGAUACACACACACACACACACACACACACACACACAAACAAACAAUUAGCCAAGGCAUGAGUGUUCAGUUCAAAGAAUUAUUACAAAUUGUACAUGAGUAUAUAUGCAUAGGUAUAGUUAUAGGUAUGUGUAUAUGCAUAAGUUUUUAGUAAGCACACAUUUUCUGAAAGCCACUGAAAAAGUAUUUUCCGUUUAGAUGCACCAGUCAUCUAAAUUCUUAUUGUAAAUUAUCAUUAUUAAUUGAUGGGAUAGUGUAACUCUCCUUAGAGGAGUAAAGAGUCUACUUUCAAGCUUUUACCAGUUCUUACCUAAUUUUAGUUCUUACUUUCUGUCCUCACUAUCCCCCAAAAUGGAGUUGAUGGAACCAGGGAAGGAAACCUAGGCAAUGUUUUAUCUUAAUGCCUUAU